AAUUGCAGUUUGAGAGCCCUUUCUCUCCUGUAUUUAGAUCAGCUCUGCCUGACCCCCGUUUUCUUAAGGGGUACGCUAAACUCCCAAUAUCUUGCGUACGCCACAGAGGUGCCUGGGCUCCACUGUAUCACGUUUCCACAGAUGUUUUCUUCUACAGUCCUGUGCAAAGCGCAGCUGUCUUUUCCACGCGCCACGCGCUUCGUCCACGUCUUGCCGCUGCAGCUCGUGCUCUCCGCUGGCUCCUGCUCCACCUUUAAAUGCGUUUCCGGCACAAUGAAGGAACAUCUUUUAAUCUGUGUUUAAAUUACGUUUUAAUAUUUUUACAGAAUAAAGAGGCACUUAUAGAUGAGUCGGAUUUCAAAGAAACAAUUGUGAAAGGCAUUAGACACACUGGAGGAAGUACAUAUAUUUCCAGGAGUGGAAGUGCACUGGAGGUGGACUUUAUAAAUAUGUUUUCAACAACAUUCGAAAAAGGACCAGACGUCGUGGACACAAAAAUUAUAAAUUACCUUAAGGAAGCACAAUUGCCAAAUAUUAUAUUUCGCAGUAAGUAAUCAAAUGGUUAAAUGUGUUGUUAUGCUGAGGGUUAAGUUU
rnacentral:lncRNA from 1 species